UGUAAGGUGGUACUUCCGGGAGUGUGGUGGGGGGAGAGGUGGGGUAAGGUGGUACUUCCGGGUUUCUCUCGUUUCGCUGAGCGUAGCUGGAACUGCGGACAUCCUGCUCGUCUUCCUAACUCGUCAUCUCAGGUCCCUGUCAAGGGCGGCAGACGUGGGGCGAGGGCGGGCUGUGUGUGGACAGAGUGAGUGCUCGCCUCCUGCCCGCCUCCGGCGACCCUCUCUGCUUAUCAGACGAGAUGCUUUGGAAAAGCAAAGAGCCCCAGGAGCGGUGUGAAAGCCAAGGAACAAGCUUCCGUUCCCUCACCCUCACUCAGUUCAGCUGUGCACCAGUCAAUGGCAGUUGUGACCACGGAGGGAGAGGCAGAGAGAGAGGAUCCCAAGCUGGCUCUGUGCUGUCAGUGUAGAGCCUGACUCGGGGCUCAGUCCCACCAACAGAGACUGUGACCUGAGCUGAAAUCAAGAAUUGGA